rnacentral:lncRNA from 1 species
CUGGAACAUCCACAAGGGGACAAAGCAGGGAGCAAACCCAAGGCUCACUGAAAACUUGACUGGGAUGCAAAGCAGAGCCCAGGACAGUGGGGUCCUGGCACUGCCAAACACGGAAACUAACUCAGGUGUCUACAGGAGAGGCCUUCUGAAGGUCAGACCAACAACCCUUGUCGCCAAACACAAUAUAAGUUGGAAGAGAGCUGCUUCUUGCCUGACCUGCUCAGUGCUCUAUAUCCCUCUCCUAGAACAACACUAG